CUGAUAACAUGUGCCAGGGUUGAAUUUAAAUUUCCGCAUGUGAGUCGUGCGGCAGCAAAAUUGAAGGGCUCCUCAAAAAAUAAAAAUAAUCCAACUUUAGGAACGCAGGAUAAACUUCCAUUGGUUGCUAAAAGAGAAAAAAGAAAUUAUUACUUAAAACUAAAUUGCAAAAGAAAUUCGAUUUUCUUCUAAUUUAAAUAAAAAAUUCGAAAUUCUUACACUUACAAUUGUCAUUGGCCCAAAUCCAAUAAGGAUAUGAACUAUAAUAUUUUACACCUGUUGCAUUUUGAAGAGCUGUGAAAUUAUGAACUUCAGGACAAUCCAGAGCUACACAAUUUCCAUUGUAGUUGCUUCUGAAAUCUAAAAAUUGUUUCUGCGUUAUCGUCGGCUCUUUGUGUAGCGGCAGCUGCAGCACGUCCCAUUAAUCGCUUCUGAAGAGUCUCAUUAGCGACGUCAAAGAAAAAAAUAAGGUCAACUGGACACACCUGAG